rnacentral:rRNA from 1 species
GACGAACGCUGGCGGCGUGCUUAACACAUGCAAGUCGAACGGAAAGGCCCUGCUUGCAGGGUACUCGAGUGGCGAACGGGUGAGUAACACGUGGGUGAUCUGCCCUGCACUUCGGGAUAAGCCUGGGAAACUGGGUCUAAUACCGGAUAGGAGCCAUUUUUAGUGUGAUGGUUGGAAAGUUUUUUCGGUGUAGGAUGAGCUCGCGGCCUAUCAGCUUGUUGGUGGGGUAAUGGCCUACCAAGGCGGCGACGGGUAGCCGGCCUGAGAGGGUGGACGGCCACAUUGGGACUGAGAGACGGCCCAGACUCCUACGGGAGGCAGCAGGGGGGAAUAUUGCACAAUGGGCGCAAGCCGGAUGCAGCGACGCCGCGUGGGGGAGGACGGCCUUCGGGUUGUAAACUCCUUUCGCUAGGGACGAAGCUUUUUGUGACGGUACCUAGAUAAGAAGCACCGGCUAACUACGUG